UACAUGGGGUGCAAACGUUGCUCGGCAUUAUUGGGCGUAAAGCGCGCGUAGGCGGUUUGUUAAGUCGGAUGUGAAAUCCCUCGGCUCAACUGAGGAAGUGCAUCCGAAACUGGCAGGCUUGAGUACUAAAGAGGGUCGCGGAAUUCCCGGUGUAGAGGUGAAAUUCGUAGAUAUCGGGAGGAACACCGGUGGCGAAGGCGGCGACCUGGGUAGAUACUGACGCUGAGGUGCGAAAGCGUGGGGAGCAAACAGG
rnacentral:rRNA from 1 species